rnacentral:lncRNA from 1 species
AGCAGUAUGUUGGCUACUCUGAAAUGUGAAACCUACAAGGGGUUUUAGUCUCCUAUACAAGAAAAAUAAGGCAUGCAUGGUUAGUGGUUACUAUAAAGCUGAUUAUGAUGGUACUGAUCAUGAUACACAAAGGUCAACCAUUGGUCAUAUGUUUCACUUUGAUUCAACUACAAUCUCAGGCAACAUAUAUACAUCAUCUUUGUCAUAAAAAAUGACAGAGUAUGGUGCAUCAACAAUGGUAGCUCAUCAAGAAAGUGUGUGAUCAGUACACUUACAAUGAGGGAUCUAUACCAACCAGUAGAUUGUUCUGCAAUAAAUUAAAUAAAUGGCCAGAAAUCCCGCUUUGAAAACAAAGCAUAUUGAAGUGCACUAUGACUUUUUAGGAGAAAAAGUUUCUUCAUUGAGAGGUAAAGAUGCUGACAGUAAAGAUGGAUGAAUAAUUAGCAAACUCAUUCACGGAAGGCAAGGUAGUGCAAAGCUAAAAAAUUCUAACAACUUAGGAUGACUUACAAAGCUAGUUAAAAGAAAAGGAAAGUUUUGAGCGGGGGAAAAUUGAGAUAUCAACAGUAACUUUUAGAAUAGAGCACGGCUCGAAGAUGGCCACUACCACAGCUAUUGUCUGUAUCGAUCAUCCCAAUAACUGCAAAUUAGCGGCCUCACCAACCAAGCCUUCACUGUUCUUCAUCAAUUGUCUUGAAGACCGAGCAGAUGUGUUCGUCCACUGAUAUUCAUCUCCAAUAUUAAUAAAGAAGCUUGGAGCUCACAGAGGCGACAACCCCACUUCCCCUUCACAUCUAUAAAAAAGGAGCUUUCCUCCCAUUCAUAUCCAUCUCUCUCCGAUUUCCAUGUGAGCUGAAAUAGAGGGGCCGAUGAGAGGGGGGAGAUCGUGAGGGAAGGGAGAAAGGUUUAGGGCUUGAAUAUCGAGGUCCUGUUUGGUUAUGUGUUUUGAGUGGGCUUGUGCUUGUUGUAGCCUAUCGGGGUUUUGGGCAUGCUUUGUGUUUUAUUUUUUGGUGCCUUUUUUACUGCCUUCUUGGUCGUGCAUCUCUAUCUCUCUCUCUCUCUCUCUCUCUCUCUCUCUCUCUCUCUCUCUCUCUCUUUCUCUCUCUCAUUUGAUGUAUGUAGUUUUCUUGGUCAUGGAUCUCUGUCUGUCUCUCUCUCUCUUGUAUUUGAUAUAUGUGGUUUGCCUGUGGAAAAUAUUAUUUCAUUUUACCAUUUCUGUGUGAAUUGUGGUUGCCUUGAUCAUAUUCUGAGAGUUUUGUUUACAAUUUCUCUGUGACUUGUUGGAGUUAAAUUGAAAGAAUAUUCACUACGCAUACUGCCUUGUAUGUUUGUUUCCAAUUGUAUAGAAUUAGCCUAAUUGCCAGCAUGCUAAAACUUCCAAUUUUAGCUCACUUUCCCUACCUUAAUAUAUAAAGGAAAAAACAUGCUU